rnacentral:misc_RNA from 1 species
GAUGAAGAACGCAGUGAAAUGCGAUAAGUAAUGUGAAUUGCAGAAUUCCGUGAAUCAUCGAAUCUUUGAACGCACAUUGCGCCCGGUAGUAUUCUGCCGGGCAUGCCUGUUCGAGCGUCAUUUCAACCAUCAAGCCCCAGCGCUUGUGUUGGGGGCCUGCGGCUGCCGCAGCCCCCCAAAAGCAGUGGCGGGCUCGCUAUCACACCGAGUGCAGUAGUUCAUCUUCUCUCCGGUCUUGUGAGGCGGGUUCCGGCCGUGAAACACCCCACUACAUUCAAGGUUGACCUCGGAUCAGGUAGGAAUACCCGCUGAACUUAAGCAUAUCAAUAAGCGGAGGA